rnacentral:antisense_RNA from 1 species
CUUGAGCGAGCCCAGGUACAGCGGCCGGUCCUCGGGCCGUUCCUGGCCGUACACGGCGACCAGCGCGCUCGCCUC